UUUUUUUUUUUUUUACAUAUAGCUAAGUUAGAUUCUAGGCAGUCGUUGAUCCGACCCUGGGCAUGGAUAGCUAAGUCAUUGCCCUAUGUAGGAAUUUACCAAUAUCUAGGAAGAGGGAAGUUAGUGACCUAAGGAGGAACCAGAGUAGAUACUUAGAACUAUAGAUAGCUGAGUUACACCCAUAUACAAGUGUUUACAAUGGCCUAGGGGGAACAGGAACCCAGACCCCUUAAUGAGGGCAAUGCCACAGCAGGUUUGCAUAUCAGGCAGAGUAUAGGCAUUACACAGGAAUAGUUCCGCCACACACUCUCAUUCUUUUUGUUUGUUUGGUUUUUUUCAUUUUUAAAAUUCUAUUUAUUUAUUUAUUUGUUUGUUUAUUGUAUGUAAGUACACUGUAGCUGUCUUCAGACACUCCAGAAGAGGGCAUCAGAUCUCAGUACAGAUGGUUGUGAGCCACCAUGUGGAUGCUGGGAUUUGAACUCAGGACCUCCGGAAGACCACAACAAGAAAACCCACUGAUGCUCCAAAACAAUACUUGGGUGGAGCCAUCUCCUAUCUCUCAACAUGCUCUAUCUGGAAGGAAAGGAAGUUCCUUCACAUCUCCCCAGGAUACAUUUAACAACAAACACCCCAUUAAGAACUUGCUAUAAUCAUUGUCCAGGGUCAGUGCCUUGGGUAGUUGACACAUGAGAAGCUCCUGUGACAUCUUGUGAACUGUCACUGCCAUGGAGCCAGGAACCCACCUCAGUGUUGGGACAUCAUUGCUGGUGCUAAUGUACAGACUUCAAGAAUGUGCCUGUCUAAGAUGAAAAGUGGAUGGAGGAAGGACAAGGGCAAAAGUGACAGAGUUUGUUCAAAGAAAAACAAAGCAGGGGCUUCUCAAAAAGCUAGCUUGCCAUUCCCCCAUCACCCUCAACUCUCCCAUUCCCUGAGAAUCCCACAAGUCAGGAAGGUUUCGGUGGCCCUCUUGUGGCGACCUCAAAUAUUGCUCAAUGUUUUUUGGUUGCAUCAUGCAAGUGGUACCAGCUAGAAACAAGGUGUGAAAUAAAACUGUUGUAAAGGUUUCUGUGUUUUCAAAUAAUUCAUUUACCUUAAUAAUAAGAAAAUCUACCAGUGAUUUUAUUUGUUUGAAAUACCCUGUGUUCGGACAUAUUGCAGGUCAUCACCAUACUUAAUUUCAAAUUAUGCUACAAAACUGAAGUAAUAAAAGUCAGAAUGGUACUGACACAUAACCAGGCACAGAUUUAACAACUGGAAUAGAAGAUCCAGAUAUAACUGCAUAAGGUCACAUUAUCUCUGACAAAGACACACACACACUCAAACACACACACACACAUCCAUACAUGAACCCCACUCACAUGCUCACACACACAAAUACAAGCACAUGCUUAUGCACCUGUCACAUGCAGAAACAUACACACUUGCAUCUCCCAUUCUCGGUCACAAGCUCACACCCACAUAUGCACACAUACUUCCACAUAAACAUGCUAACACACAAAUGCACACCACAUACCUGACCCUCACUUGCACACAUGCUCCCUUCCACACACAUACAAACACAUACACACAAGAAACUCUUUCCCCCACAUGCUCACACAAACACAAAUGCAACCCCAAAACAACUUUACA